rnacentral:rRNA from 1 species
AUUGAACGCUGGCGGCAGGCCUAACACAUGCAAGUCGAACGAGUGGCGGACGGGUGAGUAAUGUCUGGGAAACUGCCUUAUGGAGGGGGAUAACUACUGGAAACGGUAGCUAAUACCGCAUACCCUCAGAUGUCCCCAGAUGGGAUUAGCUAGUUGGUGGGGUAACGGCUCACCUAGGCGACGAUCCCUAGCUGGUCUGAGAGGAUGACCAGCCACACUGGAACGGAGACACGGUCCAGACUCCUACGGGAGGAAGCAGUGGGGAAGAUUGCACAAUGGGCGCAAGCCUGAUGCAGCCAUGCCGCGUGUAUGAAGAAGGCCUUCGGGUUGUAAAGUACUUUCAGCGGGGAGGCGUUACCCGCAGAAGAAGCACCGGCUAACUCCGUGCCAGCAGCCGCGGUAAUUC